rnacentral:rRNA from 1 species
CUAUGCGCCUUGCCAGCCCGCUCAGAAACUUAAAGGAAUUUGACGGGGGCCCGCACAAGCGGUGGAGUAUGUGGUUUAAUUCGAUGCUACACGAAGAACCUUACCAGGGUUUGACAUACAAGUAGUAGGGAAAGGAAACUGGACCGACCCUUCGGGGAGCUUGAACAGGUGCUGCAUGGCUGUCGUCAGCUCGUGUCGUGAGAUGUUGGGUUAAGUCCCAUAACGAGCGCAACCCCUACCUUUAGUUGCCAUCAGGUUAAGCUGGGGACUCUAAAGGAACUGCCUACGCAAGUAGUGAGGAAGGCGGGGAUGACGUCAAAUCAGCACGGCCCUUACGUCCAGGGCUACACACGUGCUACAAUGGCCGAUACAGAGGGCAGCUACCUGGUGACAGGAUGCAAAUCUCCAAAGUCGGUCUCAGUUCGGAUCGGAGUCUGCAACCCGACUCCGUGAAGUUGGAUUCGCUAGUAAUCGCGCAUCAGCCAUGGCGCGGUGAAUACGUUCCCGGGCCUU